rnacentral:tRNA from 1 species
GGGGAUAUACCUCAGUUGAGAGUGUUUGCCUUGCAUGCAAAAGGACCUGAGUUCAAUCCCCAGCACCA